GAUGAACGCUGGCGGCGUGCUUAACACAUGCAAGUCGAACGAAGCACUUUAUUUGAUUUCCUUCGGGACUGAUUAUUUUGUGACUGAGUGGCGGACGGGUGAGUAACGCGUGGGUAACCUGCCUUGUACAGGGGGAUAACAGUUGGAAACGGCUGCUAAUACCGCAUAAGCGCACAGCAUCGCAUGAUGCAGUGUGAAAAACUCCGGGGGUAUAAGAUGGACCCGCGUUGGAUUAGCUAGUUGGUGAGGUAACGGCCCACCAAGGCGACGAUCCAUAGCCGACCUGAGAGGGUGACCGGCCACAUUGGGACUGAGACACGGCCCAAACUCCUACGGGAGGCAGCAGUGGGGAAUAUUGCACAAUGGGCGAAAGCCUGAUGCAGCGACGCCGCGUGAGCGAAGAAGUAUUUCGGUAUGUAAAGCUCUAUCAGCAGGGAAGAUAAUGACGGUACCUGACUAAGAAGCACCGGCUAAAUACGUG
rnacentral:rRNA from 1 species